AUGUGGAUUCUGAAGGUGUUUCUGGUGAUAGAUCGGCGGCCUCCCUCGAGGAGGACCGCCGGACAUAAUGAGUCUGUUAAUCUGGAACUGCCGAGGGGGGACCACCGGACAGUUCGUGAGGUUUUGGCCCUCUCAAAAGCCAAUUCCCUGGGGCUGAUUUUUCUGUCGGAAACACGCCAAGCCUCAAGUAAGAUGGAGAGAUUAAAGUGGAGACUGCAAAUGAAGGGUUUUGUGGGUGUAUCUAGUGAUGGCCGCAGUGGGGGGCUUGCUCUCUACUGGGAUGAG
rnacentral:rRNA from 1 species